rnacentral:snoRNA from 1 species
UACAGAAGUCAGUGAUGAUUCCAUCCAAAAUAUCUGAACUUGUCUGAAGCAUCUUGUGAUGCCAUUUCUGUGUGGUUCUGAGACAGAUUUUCUA